rnacentral:rRNA from 1 species
UACGUAGGGGGCUAGCGUUGUCCGGAUUUAUUGGGCGUAAAGAGCGUGUAGGCGGCCAGGUAGGUCUGCUGUGAAAACUCGAGGCUCAACCUUGAGACGUCGGCGGAAACCAUCUGGCUAGAGUCCGGAAGAGGAGAGUGGAACUCCUGGUGUAGCGGUGAAAUGCGCAGAUAUCAGGAAGAACACCCGUGGCGAAGGCGGCUCUCUGGGACGGUACUGACGCUGAGACGCGAAAGCGUGGGGAGCGAACAGG